ensembl:lncRNA
ACAGGCAAGUGUUAUUCUUUCUUCACAGGAAGACCCAGAGAAACCAGGAUAGAAUUGAGAUCCCUGAUGAGUCUUCUGAGGGAAUCAGCCCCAUUCCUUGGAAAACAACUUGGACAGAUUGGAUGAUUUCUGUUAACCUGGUGAUUCAGAGCCAUCGAUACAUCAUGAGGGAGCUGGAGUUGGGGCUCCAUGUUCUUGGUGGUGACUGAGCCAUAUUCUUGGUGGGCUUGCUCAUGGGACCACAGGUAUCCCCUUCAAUGACCAUUUGAAGCCAGGCCUCUUUGCUGUAGGGACAAAGUGUGGCCCUGCCAGUCCUCCCAGCAUCCUGAAGAGCAGUAACUGGGAGCCAGGGACCAUUUCACCUGCUGCUUGUGGACACCAGGCUCCUCAGUCAGAGGAGUUGACUGGCCCACUCAACUUGUGUGACCUCAUCAGGGCUGGACAUCCUCAGAGCAACUACACACCCACUAGCCAGCACAGCACCCCGUGGCCUCCCCAGGACAGGUCAGCGUCCUGCUGUGCUCUCCCAUCCUCAAACGGAGAGACUGCCUGACUGAGAACCACAUGUGCUCCAUGCUUCCAGGUCAGGAUGCCCCACCCCCUUUGGUUGUGCUGACCUUUGGGAGUAGCAGGGCUGGGCCUUUGUCCCAGGACUGGGCAAGCCUCUCCCUGAUGCCCCACUUCGUAGUGUUCUGUAUGACCCAAGGAUUCUGCUCUGUGGAUGAUCAACCAUCCAGAUACCCAUACCUGUAGUGGACACUGCUGACCUCCAGGUGGUGGCCAAGGGCAGUCCCAGUCUUUUUGCUUGCCAGGCCACUGCAGACUCCUCUCCCUCCUCCUUUCUGUUCUCUCCGUCUGCAUUUCAAUCCUUCUUCAUUCCCUCCCACUCUAUACCCCACCCUCUUUCCCUUUCUCCCACUUGGUUGAGGUUUCCUCUUAGACUUAGCAAACAUCCUGGCCUGAAUUAUGUAAGCCCCACCUGCAGCUGGACAGAGCAGUGUAAAAAUAAAAC